UCCACAAAGUAGUGCACACCCUUUCAGUUGUACUAUAAAAUUUCCCAGGCUUUUUCAGAGAACCUCUUAACCCUCACAGAAAUGGAAAAAAUGGAAUAGAGGCCAGGAGCCCCAAGUUCAGGUUUUGCAGGCUCCAGGUAAGCUGGCUGAUCUAACGGAAGAUGAGGUGUUUGCAGCAGGCGUCUGUCUUGCAGCUCAGCAGGUGAGGGGACCUCGAGCAGGCUCUCGCAUUUUCCGGCUGAUCCUUCCGAGUCUGCUACUGCAGGGCCCUCGUAGGUGGGAGCAGCCUCAUCGUCGCCUUUCACACUGUGAGCUUUUCCUUUCCACGGUCAGAUGGACUUAGUGAGUUACCAGCGAUGGAUGUUAAGACCUAAGACACCGCAGAAAGUUACAGAGUGGAAAAUGAGGGGCAGAGAAAAGAGGGUCUGAGAGGAACGCAAGCAUUCCGGAAUACAGUAAGGGACAUCCCAUCAAUGACACUUCUUGGGAACAGCCACUGCCUUAGAAACACCAGACCAAGAGAAUUUUCUGACCACAACCCCAAAGGCAGCCCAUGAAGAUGGAGGUUAGGAAGGAGGCGGUCUAGCAGUGUCACUGAAUUGCCCCUGACUUAGCCUCUCCAUCAGCCAACAGAAUCACCACUUUCCUUCCUGGGACGCGACGAUGUUGAAGUGAGACAAGGUUACGUCCAAAGGCUGGCAUAGUUGCUGGCAACGCUGAUCACUACUGCCAUUUCUUCCCGGCGUGUGCAAGGGGUAUUUCACGGGCCAUCUUUGGAGUCAUCGGGAGUGCAUGUGCCAGCGGUUCCCAAAUGUGAGCAUGCCUCAGGAUCACCUAAUGCACGCUCUAACCCAACGUUCAAACCCAGAAGACCGGUGAGGAAAAUACUUUGGAUCAGUGAUGACGGCUGCACCACUGUCAAUUCUGAGGGCCACUCUCCUUUCAAAAUUGAACAUUCUGAGGCCUAGAGGCCAGGGUCACACAACUGGUAGCCAGCAGAGCUGAGAACAAAGCUGAGAUGUUUUGGAUCAAAAGCCUGUGCUCUACCCACUUACUCU